CGACCGGCGCACGGGUGAGUAACACGUAUGGAACCUGCCCUAUGCAGGGGGAUAAGCGGAAGAAAUUCCGUCUAAUACCGCAUAACACCUUUAGGAGACAUCUCCUUGGGGUCAAAGGAGGCGACUCCGGCAUAGGAUGGCCAUGCGUCGCAUUAGCUAGUCGGCGGGGUAACGGCCCACCGAGGCGACGAUGCGUAGGGGUUCUGAGAGGAAGGUCCCCCACACUGGUACUGAGACACGGACCAGACUCCUACGGAAGGCAGCAG
rnacentral:rRNA from 1 species